UACAGAGGGUGCGAGCGUUAAUCGGAAUUACUGGGCGUAAAGCGUGCGUAGCCGGUUAUUUAAGUCGGGUGUGAAAGCCCCGGGCUCAACCUGGGAAUUGCAUUCGAGACUGAAUAGCUAGGGUACGGUAGAGGGAAGCGGAAUUUCCGGUGUAGCGGUGAAAUGCGUAGAUAUCGGAAGGAACACCUGUGGCGAAAGCGGCGCACUGGACCAUAACUGACGCUGAGGCGCGAAAGCUAGGGGAGCAAACAGG
rnacentral:rRNA from 1 species